rnacentral:rRNA from 1 species
CCUACGGGUGGCAGCAGUGAGGAAUAUUGGUCAAUGGACGAGAGUCUGAACCAGCCAAGUAGCGUGAAGGAUGACUGCCCUAUGGGUUGUAAACUUCUUUUAUAUGGGAAUAAAAUGUUCCACGUGUGGGAUUUUGUAUGUACCAUAUGAAUAAGGAUCGGCUAACUCCGUGCCAGCAGCCGCGGUAAUACGGAGGAUCCGAGCGUUAUCCGGAUUUAUUGGGUUUAAAGGGAGCGUAGGUGGAUUGUUAAGUCAGUUGUGAAAGUUUGCGGCUCAACCGUAAAAUUGCAGUUGAAACUGGCAGUCUUGAGUACAGUAGAGGUGGGCGGAAUUCGGGGUGUAGCGGUGAAAGGCUUAGAUAUCACGAAGAACCCCGAUUGCGAAGGCAGUUCACGGGACUGCAACUGACACUGAGGCUCGAAAGUGUGGGUAUCAAACAGGAUUAGAUACCCUGGUAUC